rnacentral:tRNA from 1 species
GUCUAGGACGCCGGCCUGCCAAGCCGGAGAUCCCGGGUUCAAAUCCCGGCCGCCG